rnacentral:tRNA from 1 species
UCCGUUGUGGUCUAGUGGUUAGGAUUUACGGCUCUCACCGUAAAGCCCGGGUUUGAUUCCCGGCAACGGAA